rnacentral:rRNA from 1 species
GAUGAACGCUGGCGGCGUGCCUAAUACAUGCAAGUCGAGCGAACAGACGAGGAGCUUGCUCCUCUGACGUUAUCGGCGGACGGGUGAGUAACACGUGGAUAACCUACCUAUAAGACUGGGAUAACUUCGGGAAACCGGAGCUAAUACCGGAUAAUAUAUUGAACUGCAUGGUUCAAUAGUGAAAGACGGUUUUGCUGUCACUUAUAGAUGGAUCCGCGCCGCAUUAGCUAGUUGGUAAGGUAACGGCUUACCAAGGCGGCGAUGCUAAGCCGACCCGAGAGCGUGAUUGGCCAGACGGGAUCAGAGAAACGGUCGAGACUCCGACGGGAGGCAGCAGUCGGGAAUCUUCCGCAAAGGAGGAAAGCCUGACGGAGCAACGCGGCGUGAGUGAUGAAGGUCUUCGGAGCGUAAAGCUCUGUUAGUAGGGAAGAACAAAUGUGUAAGUAACUGUGCACGUCUUGACGGUACCUAGUCAGAAAGCCACGGCUAACUACGUG